rnacentral:misc_RNA from 1 species
AAGUCGUAACAAGGUUUCCGUAGGUGAACCUGCGGAAGGAUCAUUAAUGAAAUUAUGACUGGGGUUGUAGCUGGCCUAUAAAACGGCAUGUGCACGCUCCUUUCACAAUCCACACACACCUGUGCACCUUCGCGGGGGUCUUUUUUUCUCUUUGGGGGAACAAAGGCUCGCGUCCCUUUACACACCCUUUGUAUGUCUUAAGAAUGUCUACUCGAUGUAAUAAAACGCAUCUAAUACAACUUUCAACAACGGAUCUCUUGGCUCUC